UAUUGAGAUCACAUGCAGUCACUACUAUGACUGCAAGUUAGUGACUGCAUGGUAUCUCAUCCAUCCAUUUUCCAAAUCAAGGGUACAUAUCAAAGUGCUACAACACCAUUGCUAUAGGUAUGUACAGUAUUAUUUUUUUCUGUGCGAACAGUGCUCCGAGAAUCUCAGCCAUUGGAUAUAACUUGGAUGGUCCUAAUGUGACUGCUUAAGUUGCAGUCACACUAGUAACUGCACCUGAACCAAAUCCCAUCUGUCCGCCACUCCCCUCGUAAACGUGCGAGUUACCUUUCUAGUUUUUCUACGCAUCUAGCCCUCUACAUGUGUUUAUAUAUUAAAUUAAAAUUGAUCGAAAUUGGGAACAAAUUAAGCCAGAUUGUCAAUGACAAUCCUUUCCAAGUACGUAAGGGCUGAGGCAUCAUUACUUGACACGCACAGCACUCCGCCCAUCCCCGCGGCUGGCCUCGUCCGUCGCCACCACAAAAGCAAGACUGCAAGAAUCGAUCGAGCAUAACCCCCCAUUGCUCCAGCAACACACCAAGGCUGGCACCCAAGCAAAGC
rnacentral:sRNA from 1 species